rnacentral:miRNA from 1 species
UCACAAAUUACUUGAGAAACUUAUUAAAAACACAGAUUCUAAUUCAGUAGAUCUAGAGUGGGGCUUUUCUGUAUUUCAAAUAAGUUUCCUGGUGAUACUGAU